AAGAAUUGCAGUGAAGACAACAAGACUGAACAGGGAAGAACAAAAAGGUGCAAACUUAAAUAGAAUCCUGAUGAUGUGAUGCAGGUGUGGACUAAUCAAAAAUGGUGGAUGUGCGGUGCAUGCUGGGAAACUGAGUUCAGAACUCCGGGGAGAGGGAACGGGUGAAGCGAGCUGGCGGUGACGACAUGGGGGGCGUGGCCGGUGGUGCUGAAACCGUUACACUCGGCAGAUAAAAGAGACUGAGAUACACCCUCUAAAACUCCAAGGACCAUAAAAAAGAUGAGGAAGGCCAUGGAUUUACCAUCACGGAGCAGUGUCACCGAGGUGGGUUAAACACUACAAUGCUAGUUUGGACAUAGGUCCAGUACUUUUACUUGUUUGCAAAUCUUAAAUUCAGCACUUAUCGUCUACGUCACAGCUCUCAGCCCGCCCUCUGUUCGUUGGUUGGAUGGCUGGUGCGGAGCCAGAGAUAAUCUGGGAGCUGGUUUGCUAUAUCAGACUGAGUACAGAAGCGAACUGAACUGAAACUGAGCGGAAGUACGAAGUCUGAUGUAGUCAGGCUAAGUGAUUGCGUCUCUUCAGUCUAAACUACUGACACAUUUCGAGCCUUGCGAGGACGAUACAGACAUGACUCGAGAAAUGAAAUUGGUGAUGACAUCGGACUUUUCAUCUCGUUAUAUAUCGUUAUAACGUCCUGUGACGUUCUGCUUGAAGGUAAGAUUUCUCUAUAAUAAUUACCAAUAGCAAAACGGUUGCAAAUGCACUAUACAGUCUUUUAAUUAUUUAAUGUCAAGACUUGUUGUUGUUUGUGUUAAAACAUGUUCAGAGUUUUUAUUUUGACUUGGUAACAACUAGGCCUAAUAGUAUUUUACUUAUUUUCUAGCAUCGGCACUGGAUUCCCGCUUCAAAGGGCUACCCUUUCUAAAAAACGAAGCAAGAGAAUUUGUCUUCACUAAACUUGCUGUUGAGGCAUCAAACACUGUUCAAGUGGAACAGCAGGAGGAUGCAGUUAAAGAGAUGCCACCACCAGACACAGUUGAAGAAGAUGAAGUGCGUCCUGCAAAAAAGAUGAAAGCAAUGGAUUUGUUCUUUGGCAACACCUUUCAGAAGAUGCCAGAGACUUGUCUAGGGUCUGGUAGUGAGGUCAGCAGAGAUGAAGUACUCAAAUACAGAUCCAUGGCUGCUGCCACUGACUGAAAGUGCACUGGACUGGAGGAAGUCCCCUGAGACAGAACUACCAAUCCUUGCAAAUCUGGCAAGAAGUUAUCUUUGCAUUCCUGCUACUGCUACUGAGGCUUCAGAAAGAGUUUCAGUACUGCAGGAGACAUAGUGUCUUCUCAGAGAAGCAGUUUACGGCCAGACUGUGUUGAUCAGUUAAUAUUUUUGGAAAAAAAAUUCAAGUAGAUAAGGUUGGAAAAAACAACUGUCACAGCUAGGGUACCAGUCUUAAAAAUGUGACCUUUUCGUCACUGAAGUCUUUUUGAAAACCCUAGUCAUAGCCAUUUGUUUAGUCAAAUCUCUGUUACUAUACCACAAAGUUUUGGUUGCACUUUGUGUGGUAUUUCUGCCAGUUGCAUUUGCACAUAGUUGUAUUUCUGAAAUUGUCCUCAAUGUUCUGGAAAUGCAUGCACUUAAGUUUGCAGUCUUUUGAAUAAAACAUUUGUGGUGCAUUGAAUAUGUGGUAUGAUUUUUCUUACUAGAAACACAUUAAGAAAAGCCCUAAGAAGUUUAGAUACUGAACUGAAAUUCUGGGUAAAGUUGCAGGAAAUAUUUUGAAAUAAUUGGUCAUGAAUAUUGGUUUUAUUUGCUAUGAAUGAUGCAGGAACCUAAAAUAUAUAGAAUUGAAUCGUUAAUCGAAUCGAAUCGAAUUUCAUUGUGAAUCGAAUUGAAUCUAAUCUUUCCGAAACGGCAAAAAUCGCGGUAACACUUUACAAUAAGGUGCUAUUAGUUAACAUAAGUAAAUGCAUUAGCUAACAUUAUCUAACAAUGAACAAUUUCGUUUUUCAGCAUUUAUUAAUCCUUGAACGUUUGAUUUUAAUAAUGUAUUUAUAAAUGCUGAAAUUAACAUGUAGUAAUAUUAAUAAAUGCUGUAGAAAUAUUGUUCGUUGUUAGUUCAUGUUAGCUAAUGCAUUAAAUAAUUGUUAACAAAUAGCACCUUAUUUUAAAGUGUUACCAAAAUCGCUCUUGAAUCGAAUCGACAACCUGUGAAUCGUGCAUCGAAUCGAUUUGCUGUCUGCCCAAAGAUUCACACCCCUACUUGGGACUCAUCAUACAGGCACACGGCUUCUCCUCUCACUGUUAUGCUGACAACACCCAGAUUUACAUCUCAUUUCACCCAGACGAUACCACUGUAGCAGCUCGCAUUACAGCCUGCCUAGAAGACAUCUCAGCUUGGAUGAAAGAGCAUCACCUGCAGCUGAACCCUGCCAAGACAGAACUACUUGUAUUUCCGGCACACCCCAUGGUGCAACACAAUCUCACCAUCCAACUUGGCAAUACUACAAUCACUCCUUCCAAAACAGCCAGGAACCUCGGAGUCAUAUUUGAUGAACAGCUGUCCUUCAAUGAUCACAUUGCAAAGACGCGGUCAUGCCGAUAUGCCUUAUUCAACAUUAGAAAGGUUAGACCCUAUCUCACUGAGCAUGCGGCACAACUCCUUGUCCAGGCCCUGGUAAUCUCAAGGUUGGACUACUGCAAUGCUCUCCUUGCUGGUCUUCCUGCAAAGGCUAUCAAACCACUCCAGAUGAUUCAGAAUGCAGCAGCACGCCUCGUCUUCCAAGAGCCCAAAAUGGCUAAUGUGACACCCCUUUUCAUCUCUCUCCGCAUAACACUGUGAUGUCCCCCUCUGCCUGCUAAUUUUUUAACUACCUGAUUACUUCACAGGAAAACGGUAAAACUUAAUUUCUUUUUAUCCUUUGUCCUUAAUCUAGCCUUGUAUAUUUCAUUGAUUAAAUAUGAUGCUACUUGAGAAUGCGAGUAACUUUUUGGAACUCUAUUGUUAGCGAGCCUUCAACCACAGUUUAGGCUACAUGUACAGUAUGCAUGGGUACCAAAACCUGGUAACGAGCCCAGUGGCUAAAUUAUUACAGUUGUCCGCAUUGUAUAGCUAGAUAAACUCCGACGUUAUCAAUACUGUUUCUGUACCGGAGAAUUUCUCUCCCUCUGAGGCUACGUGUGUGAGACGGAGCAACUCGCAUUCUGCAGUCAUGCCUUGUUAAAAGACAAAAGCUUCUGGCUAAAACGUGCACGUUAACUUUCCUGCUUAAAUGUGUCUGUGGGUCAGACUCUGUUUAUACUUGGUGUUAAGAUGCGUUUUGUUCGAUCUUUCUAUCAAAUGGAAUAAAUAAAUGCACACAAUUUACAUAUGAACGCGACUGGGGGCAGAUAAACAUACAGAGAGAAGUGUUUUUUAUUUAUGCUCUGACAGCCGCGAGACACGCUGAACACUGUAAGUGUGUGUUAGAAAUCUGAAAUGGAGAGAAAACAUUCUGCUUGCUUGGUAUGUUUUUUGCAGUGUUGGGCAGUAACGCGUUACUGUAGUUUUAUUACUUUUUUGGUAACAGAGUAAUUUAACACGUUAUAAUUCCUAAAAUAGUAAUUAGAUUAUAGGUCCUAGCCCAGGCAACUAUACGUUACAGCUGCGUUACAUCGUUGCCGUUGUAUCAUUUUAUCAUUUAAAUGAUAAAAAGCGAAAUAGCUUUUUCAAAGUCUGGAUGCCUGCCUGUCGCACCCGCGACGUCAUCAAACUGAAACGCGCCUGCGCGGAAAGUACUACCAAAGCCACUCCAUGGAAAGCCUGCCACCUUAAGCUAAAAACUCGUAAUGGUUGCCAAGAUGGGAACCAAUCAUGAGGUUACAUCAGACGGAACCGCCCGAUUGGGGGGUUACAACGUCCGGUAGCACUAGGUCCGGUUAGAGCUAUGUUGUGGAUAACUCAGUUGGUACCCGGCCUAAGGGGCAGGGCUGCUCUGCCCAGCCUGCCCGCAGGAGGUGUUUGCUUAGUGAUGGAUGGAAUGCCUGUUCUUCACCCAGUGGGGGAAUAGCACGCUGACCCACCUAGGAGGGUGGAAGGUGCUUUCGCCGGCAUACACCCUACCGGCCGCCGGUCUUACCUGAUGCCCUGCAAGACUCGAGCUGAUACCGGUUUUACGCGGAGGCUGUAGAACCUCGCGAAGGUGUUGGGUGUAGCCCAAGGCGCCUCUCUGGCAGACAUCUGCAGAGCUGCGGGUUGCAGCUCUGCAGAUGUCUGCCAGAGAGGCGCCUUGAGCCAGUGCCCACGAGUAGGCUAUACUCCGUGUGGAGUGAGCUCUCACUACCAGUGGGCACGGGCGAUCUUAGGACUGGUACGCCGUAGUGACAGCGUCCAUGAUCCAGUGCGCCAAUCUCUGUUUGAGACAGCCCUACCCUUCUGCUGAUCUCCAAAACAGACACAGAGCUGCUCAAAGCUCCUGCGGCUCUGUGUGCGGUCCAAGUAGAGGCGCAAUGCGUGUACUGGACACAACUCGGAUGGGGUUGGGUCUUCCUCCCCGGUGGGGAGCGCCUGUAAGUUCACCACCUGGUGUCUAGGGGGAGUGGUGGGAACUUUGGGCACGUAGCCGGGCCGGGGUCUCAGGAUAGCGUGAGAAUCACCGGGCCCGAGUUCUAGUCAAUCUGUGGACACAGAGAAUGCUUGUAGGUCCCCUACCCUCUUGAGCGCCAUCAGGAGAGCCAUCUUCAUCGUGAGGUGAGAAAGAACGGCAUCUCCGGGGGGUUUGAAGCGGGGCCUCUUGAGGCCCGCAUCAAGGUCGCAAGAGGGUACGGAGCGUGGACGAGGCGAUAACCUUCUCGCGCCCCUUAGGAACCAAAUGAUCAGGUUGUGCUGUCCUAGAGAUUUACCAGCAACUGGGUCGUGCUGAGCAGCAAUGGCGGCUUCAUACAUGUUCAGUGUGGAAGGGGAGAGAUUACUCUCGAGUCUCUGGAAGGACAGCACGUUCCCGAUCAAGCAACUCCACGGGUCUUCUCUUUGAGAAGAGCACCAGGAUGAGAAGAGGCGCCACUUAUAGGCGUAAAGCCGCCUAGUGGCCACGGCCCUAGCCUGAGUGAUGGUCUUACUGCCGCAGGGGGUAGGCAAAUCAGGAUCUCCUCGUCCCGUCCAGGGGCCAGACAUGGAGGUUCCAAAGGUCUGGCCUGGGAUGCCAUUACGUGCCCUUCCCCUGGGAAAGCAGGUCCUUUGUCAGGGGAAUCGGCCAGGGGGGUGCUGUCGUCAAGAGCAUUAGCUCCGAGAACCAAGUCCGGUUGGGCCAGUAUGGCGCAACUAGUAGCACUUGAUGCUCCUCUUCCCUGAACUUGCACCGGAUCUGUGCAAUGAGGCUCACUGGGGGGAAGGCGUACUUCUGCUUGUCCCACGGCCAGCUGUGCGCUAGAGCAUCUGUGCCGAGGGGGGCCUCGGACGGGGAGUACCCUAGCGGGCAAUGGGUGGUGUCCCGGGAGGCGAACAGGUCUACCUGAGCCUGCCCGAACUGUACCCAAAUGAGCUGGACUGCGCGGGGGUGGAAUCACCACUCUCCGCGAGGCGUCAACUGACGAGAGAGCGCAUCGGCUGUCUGGUUCAGGUCACCUGGGAUAUGUGUGGCUCGCAGGGAUCUGCUCACCUGCGGACUCCACAGGAGGAGGCGUCGGGUGAGUCGUGUUAGCUGCCGUGAGUGAACGCCACCCUGGCGGUUGAUAUACGCUACAGCACGUGCUUGUCCUGCACGAGAGGUUGUAGCCCCUUUAGUGCAAGUAGCACAUCCAACAACUCUUGGCAGUAGAUAUGCCCGCGCCCGUCCAUCGCCUUCUGCAUGAGCAUCCUGAACGGCAGCUUGUGUAAGUGCCUGUUCAGGGUACGCAGAUCUAGAAUGGGGCGCAACCCCCCAUCUUUUUUGGGGGCGAUGAAGUACGGGCUGUAAAACCCGUUACACAUCUUGGCUAGAGGGACGAGCAUGAUCGCUUCCUUCGCCAGAGGGGUGGCGACCUCGGCCCGAAGCACGGUUGCAUCCUUGCCUCUAACUGAGGUUGAGAGGAUGCCCCGAAACUUGGGCGGGCGUCUGGCGAGUUGGAUCACGUAGAGACAGAUCGUAUCUCGUAGCCACCGUGACGGUUUGGGAAGCUUUUGUCAGGCUCCCAGGGACCGAGACAGGAGGGCUAGGGGUACGAUCUGCUUCAUCGACCUCCCGGGGGGUGGUUCGAUGGCUGGCAGUGCGGAUCCCUCGCCGUGGGGAAGCCCCCGGGGAGGAGAUCGGCUCUGCUGAUUUACCUGCCUGGCAAUGAUGUAGCACGACACACCGUCGAUUGAGAGUGCUGAGGCCUGCUGAUUAUGCUUGACAUUGGGUCUUGCUGUCACGCAAUGUUGAGUUGCUGAACACUGUCGUGUAGAGAGUGAGAGCGGCUGUGAUAAACACCCAGAGAGAGAGGAAACUCUUAGAAUUGGGCUGUUGGGACGGGGCAGGAACCGUCCCGGAUCGACAAACCAGCAAUGGAAUGAGUUCCUGCAUAAGCGCUGGGUCGGUCUUACUCUCGUGGAGCUCUCUCAACGCUUUGGCCUGAUGGACCUGCAGGAUGGCCAUAGCGUGGAGAGAGGAGGCAGCUUGGCCUGCAGCAGUGUAAGCUCUCGACACCAGAGAUGCCGUAAACCUACAUGCUUUGGAUGGGAGUCUAGGUCGAGCCACCCGAUGUCCCCCACUCCACCUGGGGGACAUCGACGUAUCCUCUAGCUGCCUCACCAUCGAGGGAAGAAAGGGCGACGGAACUAGUCUGAUGUGCACGCGCCGAAAGGGGGCGUUCCAGGUCUUACUAAGUUCCUCAUGCACUUCCGGGAAAACACGGCACUGUGGGCGGGCACAGCUUGGAGCAGUGCUCAAACCCGAGGUACCAUGUAUCCAGCCGCGAGCGUUGGGAGAGGCAGUGUGGUGCACUGCAACCCAAUGCCGGCGGCCCGGGAAAGCAUGGCUGACAUUUCGACUUCCGCUUUUUCCUGGGCUCGACCCCCCCGAAGGAGGGAGCUCCGAGGAAUCGUCGGAGUCAGAUGCCAGUAAGUCACCCUCCGAUGCUGCAAGGGACAUCUCAUCAUCACGCACCUUUUCCGAAUACGCUCUUGAGGAACAAGACGGUGGGACGGUCUCAUGGGGAACGGUCAGACGAGCAAGACGAGGUGCGAACGGACCGCGAGCCGGUGGCUGACGGAUUAGCGCUCACAGUAACCCUCAUAUCACCCUCGCUGCUCGGCCGUAGCAUAGCCACUGCUGUCACGGAACGAGAAGCAGACGAGGUGGUGGCUGAGUCCCGGGGGAACACAGCCACCCAUGACGCAAUGUCUGAAUCGUCAACCGCCCGCAGCGCGGGCAGGACGUAUCCACAAGGGCUGCCCCAGCGUGCUGGAAGCAGACAUCUUGUCCGUCCCCCUCCUCGAUGAGUGUGUUGCACCCACGAGAACAGCGCGACAUGCCACGCUGGAGAAAUUUGCUCUUUUAGAGAAAAAAACUCAAACACUUCUGGAACUGCCAAGACGCCCAGGGGAAGUCGCUGCAGGAAGGGACAGUCCACUGCACCACGUCGUAAGAUUCCAGCAGUAAUUCGUCAUAGAGUUUGAAGUCUCGAAGUUGAUCAUGUGUGAAGGCUCCGAAGAACAAAAAGGUGAAUGAAUGAAGCACGCCGUCUCCCCUUUAUACCCGGAUAUCCGGGGGCGGAGUCCGGCAUGCAAAUUUCAUUCGCCAAUUUCAUUGGCCUUUUCUAAAAUAGUCGGAAGCGAUAGGUUCUCAAGAGUGAACCCUAUCUGUCGGUUCGACACAACGCCGAGAGACCGACAGAAAGGGAAUGCAGGUUUAGAAAUACUAGUUAACAUAUGACAUUUUUUUUAAGUUAAAAUGUCACAGAGUCUAAUUAUUAUUAUUAUUUAUGACAGGCUUUAGUAUGGAAUAAGCAGAAAGAAUGUAUUAAAAUAAUUAAAGAUGAGAUAGAGUAGAGUAUGCACUUCCCAAUAAAGUUUAGUCUUGAGAAGGCUGAAGAGGUUAUUUUGUGUUUUUGAGGGGUGGGGGGGUAGUAAUGUAACGAGUAAUGUAACGAGUAGUGUAACUAAUUACUUUUGAAAUAAAGUAAUCAGACCAGUAACUUGAUUACUUUUAAAAAGAGUAAUCAGUAAUUUAAUUACAUUUCCAAAGUAACUUGCCCAACACUGGUUUUUCGUCAUUAAACAAAACUUUUAAGUCUUCAGCCAAAGUUUAAAUACUGACUUGUUUCCCCUCAUUUACGCAUUAUGUCCGUAGGCGGUCUUUUGUGGCUGUGUAAACGCAUUUGACUACAGAGCGUCUACUUUCCUGUCAGGCUUUGUACUGUCCUAUAAAAUAGAACAAGGCUAAAAGCUAAAUAUAACUAAAAACGCAGUUAUGAGCAGCAGUCUGUGUAAUAUGAGUGAUUUUUUGUUUUUGUUUUCACUUAGAUCAGUGGUUCUCAAACUGGGGGCCGUGGCCAAGAUGGAUCCAGGGGGCCACAGAUUUUGUGACAUUUUAUGAAAUAUAGAAAUCUGUCAUAGAUUUUAUGCAAUCAAACAUCAGAAAAAUGACACCACCAACCAAACGAAUUGAGGUUCCAGCAUUGUAUAACUGAAUGGGUUGACGUCCUGCUUCCUGCUUCCUGUUUCCUGCAUCGCUGCUGGCAGCUUGUUUGUAUCAGUGCGCUUACCACUUCGCUCUAAUAUUAGUGUAUUUUAUUAUCGUUAAUUAUUAUUGUCGUUGCUAACUUAUCCUGAUAUCUCAAUAACCCUGUUCCUGUUAUUUACUUGGAAGAGUCUAAACCAAAAGUGAUAGUUAACUUAACGCCGUUAGCAUAGCAAUAGCGUGUUAGCUUGCUUUCUGUUCACACUGUGGAAUAUCAUCUUGCCUCUGGUUUGU